UAGACCGCCUGGGGAGUACGGCCGCAAGGUUAAAACUCAAAUGAAUUGACGGGGGCCCGCACAAGCGGUGGAGCAUGUGGUUUAAUUCGAUGCAACGCGAAGAACCUUACCUGGUCUUGACAUCCACAGAACUUUCCAGAGAUGGACUGGUGCCUUCGGGAACUGUGAGACAGGUGCUGCAUGGCUGUCGUCAGCUCGUGUUGUGAAAUGUUGGGUUAAGUCCCGCAACGAGCGCAACCCUUAUCCUUUGUUGCCAGCGGUUAGGUCGGGAACUCAAAGGAGACUGCCAGUGAUAAACUGGAGGAAGGUGGGGAUGACGUCAAGUCAUCAUGGCCCUUACGACCAGGGCUACACACGUGCUACAAUGGCGCAUACAAAGAGAAGCGACCUCGCGAGAGCAAGCGGACCUCAUAAAGUGCGUCGUAGUCCGGAUUGGAGUCUGCAACUCGACUCCAUGAAGUCGGAAUCGCUAGUAAUCGUGGAUCAGAAUGCCACGGUGAAUACGUUCCCGGGCCUUGUACACACCGCCCGUCACACCAUGGGAGUGGGUUGCAAAAGAAGUAGGUAGCUUAACCUUCGGGAGGGCGCUUACCACUUUGUGAUUCAUGACUGGGGUGAAGUCGUAACAAGGUAACCGUAGGGGAACCUGCGGUUGGAUCACCUCCUUACCUUAAAGAA
rnacentral:rRNA from 1 species